GAUGAACGCUGGCGGCGUGCCUAAUGCAUGCAAGUCGAGCGAACGGACGAGAAGCUUGCUUCUCUGAUGUUAGCGGCGGACGGGUGAGUAACACGUGGAUAACCUACCUAUAAGACUGGGAUAACUUCGGGAAACCGGAGCUAAUACCGGAUAAUAUUUUGAACCGCAUGGUUCAAAAGUGAAAGACGGUCUUGCUGUCACUUAUAGAUGGAUCCGCGCUGCAUUAGCUAGUUGGUAAGGUAACGGCUUACCAAGGCAACGAUGCAUAGCCGACCUGAGAGGGUGAUCGGCCACACUGGAACUGAGACACGGUCCAGACUCCUACGGGAGGCAGCAGUAGGGAAUCUUCCGCAAUGGGCGAAAGCCUGACGGAGCAACGCCGCGUGAGUGAUGAAGGUCUUCGGAUCGUAAAACUCUGUUAUUAGGGAAGAACAUAUGUGUAAGUAACUGUGCACAUCUUGACGGUACCUAAUCAGAAAGCCACGGCUAACUACGUGCCAGCAGCCGCGGUAAUACGUAGGUGGCAAGCGUUAUCCGGAAUUAUUGGGCGUAAAGCGCGCGUAGGCGGUUUUUUAAGUCUGAUGUGAAAGCCCACGGCUCAACCGUGGAGGGUCAUUGGAAACUGGAAAACUUGAGUGCAGAAGAGGAAAGUGGAAUUCCAUGUGUAGCGGUGAAAUGCGCAGAGAUAUGGAGGAACACCAGUGGCGAAGGCGACUUUCUGGUCUGUAACUGACGCUGAUGUGCGAAAGCGUGGGGAUCAAACAGGAUUAGAUACCCUGGUAGUCCACGCCGUAAACGAUGAGUGCUAAGUGUUAGGGGGUUUCCGCCCCUUAGUGCUGCAGCUAACGCAUUAAGCACUCCGCCUGGGGAGUACGACCGCAAGGUUGAAACUCAAAGGAAUUGACGGGGACCCGCACAAGCGGUGGAGCAUGUGGUUUAAUUCGAAGCAACGCGAAGAACCUUACCAAAUCUUGACAUCCUUUGACAACUCUAGAGAUAGAGCUUUCCCCUUCGGGGGACAAAGUGACAGGUGGUGCAUGGUUGUCGUCAGCUCGUGUCGUGAGAUGUUGGGUUAAGUCCCGCAACGAGCGCAACCCUUAAGCUUAGUUGCCAUCAUUAAGUUGGGCACUCUAAGUUGACUGCCGGUGACAAACCGGAGGAAGGUGGGGAUGACGUCAAAUCAUCAUGCCCCUUAUGAUUUGGGCUACACACGUGCUACAAUGGACAAUACAAAGGGCAGCGAAACCGCGAGGUCAAGCAAAUCCCAUAAAGUUGUUCUCAGUUCGGAUUGUAGUCUGCAACUCGACUACAUGAAGCUGGAAUCGCUAGUAAUCGUAGAUCAGCAUGCUACGGUGAAUACGUUCCCGGGUCU
rnacentral:rRNA from 1 species